AGUAAGGUUAUCUAGACGAUUGUAUAGACUAGAUGUAUAGUCUAGAGAGUACAGAGCUCAGAGUCAGUUCAAAUAAAACUACUUAAGUAAAAUGCUCCUCAAUUUCUCAAUUCUUCCCGGACAAACAUCAACCAGUUGAAUCGAACCCGAAUCCGAAUCAAAUGACUAAAGAUAAUAGUCGCCCAUAAGAAGGAUGAACUGAAGAUGUUGCUGCUGUCAUAAAUGACUAUGAGCAUCAAGAGAACCCAUAAAUCAUUUGCUCAUUGAGUCUUUUCGUAAAGAGUCGGGAAAAGACACUUAUUUGCGGACAACGAGAAACUGUCGAAAUUAAUCGUCGAUUAGAAGAAUGUACUGAAGAUUACUAUUCGUUUCUUACUUCCGUCGAACUGGUGUUACAGCCGUAGCUGUUCAAAGAAGCUCUGCAUCUAUUUGACCAUUAAAAACGGAUAUUAGUGCCGUCAAUUGGUCAAUUGCGCUCUGAUCUUUCUGAGUCAACAUUAUUCUAUCCCCGUUUGGUAUUAUUUGUUCUCAACAAAAUCCACAAAAUUAUUAACGAAUAUUUUAUAUUUCAUACCUAAAUAAAUGUUGCGAAAUGACUUAGUUUUACAUAA